rnacentral:tRNA from 1 species
CCGACCUUAGCUCAGUUGGUAGAGCGGAGGACUGUAGUGGAUUGCAGAUGAAAUCCUUAGGUCGCUGGUUCGAAUCCGGCAGGUCGGA